AAAAAUAGGCCAAAAUCGCAAAUUUUAGAGGGGUGUGUGUGUGUGUGUGUGUGUGUGCUGUUUCUUGACAAAAAAUUGAAAUUGUCAAUUUCACCUUUGGUGAAACUUUCAUUUAGUCAAAACCCCAAUUUUCCAUUGGAACAAAAUGCUGAAGGAAAACUUUAAGCAGCCCUAGUAAUUUCCUGCAAGGCCUUGGUGAGGUGCCUGGCUUGGGUUUCAUUGCUUGUUUUCCAACCCACGACUUUCCACCUCAGCUUGUCUAACUGCAUAGCAUCGGGCUCAGUCCCCACCAUUCAACUUACUCAGCUUUAAGUCUAGUGGUGCUGUCACACCAGUGUGAUGAGAAUUUGUCCAUUGAUUUCAAUGGGAGUUGGAUCAGGACACAUGCUAAAUAUUUUGGGCAUGGAGGACGUGAUCCUUAGGUGUGGCUUAGCCAUGCGGGGUGCAGGACCUGCAAAGUCUGGGAGGAUAAAGGUGACUAGGGGUCACUGAAAAUGUUCUGUCAAAAUUGUUUUUCAAGAAAAUUUCGGUUUUCAACAAAACUUUUUGUUUUUCCUUUUGGUGUAAAAAUUGGGAUUGUUCAUAGAAGAAACAAAUAUCCAAAAAGUUUUGGUUUUCAUCUGAAAACACUGGGCUUUCUCUUUCUUCCUUUCUUCUUUUCUUUCUUUUCAAAAAGUUGAAGUUCUCCAUGGAAAAGAAAUGUAAUUUUUGAUGAGCUUUAAAGCUGACCCAUUUCCAUGCUAUAUGCUCUUUCAGUCGUUUCAGGAAAGUGAUGUCAAUGUAGUUUUGAAGGACAUUGCCAGAAGGACAAAGGCUUGGCUUGGUACCAGACAUCAGACAGGAAAUGCAGAGGAUGUUUUGCAGCCAAAGAAGUUGGAGGAUGUUCUGCAGUGCCUUAAUCUAAUACUAGCUUUGGUCACAAUUUUCUUGAAACACCCACAGAAAAUACCAUUCAGCCCCGUGAUGACAUCACUGCAGAUUUGGGAAUUGUUCUCUGAAACAGAAGAUUUACUGCAAACCAAAAGGGAUUUUCGGGUCCUUAAGCAGACCCAGGGGCUCAAGGAAUUUAUGAAUGUAGCAGAAUCAUGGAUCCAGGAGUUAUUCCCCAAAUCGUCUGAACAGGAAAAAGUCUUUUUUCAUUAUAUUGACGUGAGUCCAAAAAAUCCCAGUGAGACUGAUUUUUUCAUUGCUAUUAAAAAUAGUCAACUGAUAGGCUUGUUCUGUUCCUAGAUGUGGGAUCAGCUCAUUUCCGCUGGACUGUUCUGUGAUGAGUGGACCCGGGACUGGCGAAAACAUAUUAAAUCUUUGUUUGCAGAGUGGCUAAAAAGGGUGAGUUGACUAAUUGACAAUCAGAAAGAUGGUCUUUCCCUCACAGAACUUAAACGGAGAUACAGACAGAUGGGGAAGACAGCAGUGGGAUGAUUAUUAUUGGAAGAAUAAACAACAGUAGCUGCGUACCA
rnacentral:lncRNA from 1 species